UACAGAGGUCUCAAGCGUUGUUCGGAUUCAUUGGGCGUAAAGGGUGUGUAGGUGGCGCGCUAAGUCGGGUGUGAAAUUUCGGAGCUUAACUCCGAAACUGCAUUCGAUACUGGCGUGCUUGAGGACUGGAGAGGUGACUGGAAUUCAUGGUGUAGCAGUGAAAUGCGUAGAGAUCAUGAGGAAGACCAGUGGCGAAGGCGGGUCUCUGGACAGUUCCUGACACUGAGACACGAAGGCCAGGGGAGCAAACGGG
rnacentral:rRNA from 1 species